GACGAACCGUGCAAACGUUGUUCGGAAUCACUGGGCUUAAAGGGCGCGUAGGCGGCUCAUCAAGUCGGGGGUGAAAUACUUCAGCUUAACUGGAGAAGUGCCUUCGAUACUGGUGGGCUUGAGGGAGGUAGGGGUCUUUGGAACUUCUGGUGGAGCGGUGAAAUGCGUUGAUAUCAGAAGGAACGCCGGUGGCGAAAGCGAAGGACUGGACCUCUUCUGACGCUGAGGCGCGAAAGCUAGGGGAGCAAACGGGG
rnacentral:rRNA from 1 species